GGGACAUGAGGAGUGGUUAUAACUCGCAUUAAAUAUGCGAGAGGGGUGUCCGCCCCCGCCUGGUUACGACAUCAGGGCACUCUACUGUAGCCCAUCUGAUCCC